rnacentral:rRNA from 1 species
GACAGAGGUGCCGAGCGUUAGGCGGAAUCACUGGGCUUAAAGCGUGUGUAGGCGGAUCUGUAAGUACCUUGUGAAAUCCCAUGGCUCAACCAUGGAACUGCUUGGUAUACUGCGGAUCUUGAGCCACCUAGGGGCAAGUGGAACAAACGGUGGAGCGGUGAAAUGCGUAGAUAUCGUUUGGAACGCCAAUGGUGAAAACAACUUGCUGGGGGUGUGCUGACGCUGAGACACGAAAGCCAGGGGAGCAAACGGG